AUUCAUAUAGUUUACAAAAACAUUUUAUUUUCGUUAAAAAAACGACUUAAAAUUAAGUCUAUGAAUU
rnacentral:tRNA from 1 species